rnacentral:rRNA from 1 species
GGGAGCUUGCUCCCGGAUGUUAGCGGCGGACGGGUGAGUAACACGUGGGUAACCUGCCUGUAAGACUGGGAUAACUCCGGGAAACCGGAGCUAAUACCGGAUAGUUCCUUGAACCGCAUGGUUCAAGGAUGAAAGACGGUUUCGGCUGUCACUUACAGAUGGACCCGCGGCGCAUUAGCUAGUUGGUGGGGUAAUGGCUCACCAAGGCGACGAUGCGUAGCCGACCUGAGAGGGUGAUCGGCCACACUGGGACUGAGACACGGCCCAGACUCCUACGGGAGGCAGCAGUAGGGAAUCUUCCGCAAUGGACGAAAGUCUGACGGAGCAACGCCGCGUGAGUGAUGAAGGUUUUCGGAUCGUAAAGCUCUGUUGUUAGGGAAGAACAAGUGCGAGAGUAACUGCUCGCACCUUGACGGUACCUAACCAGAAAGCCACGGCUAACUACGUGCCAGCAGCCGCGGUAAUACGUAGGUGGCAAGCGUUGUCCGGAAUUAUUGGGCGUAAAGGGCUCGCAGGCGGUUUCUUAAGUCUGAUGUGAAAGCCCCCGGCUCAACCGGGGAGGGUCAUUGGAAACUGGGAAACUUGAGUGCAGAAGAGGAGAGUGGAAUUCCACGUGUAGCGGUGAAAUGCGUAGAGAUGUGGAGGAACACCAGUGGCGAAGGCGACUCUCUGGUCUGUAACUGACGCU